UGAGGAAUUUUCUGCAAUGGGCGAAAGCCUGACAGAGCAAUACCGCGUGAGGGAUGAAAGCUUACUGAGUUGUAAACCUCUUUUUUCAAGGAAGAAGAUCUGACGUUACUUGAAGAAUAAGCAUCGGCUAACUCCGUGCCAGCAGCCGCGGUAAGACGGAGGAUGCAAGUGUUAUCCGGAAUCACUGGGCGUAAAGCGUCUGCAGGUGGUUUUUUAAGUCUACUGUUAAAACUUGAGGCUUAACCUCAAAGCAGCAGUGGAAACUAGAAGACUAGGGUAUAGUAGGGGUAGAGGGAAUUUCCAGUGGAGCGGUGAAAUGCGUAGAUAUUGGAAAGAACACCGAUGGCGAAGGCACUCUACUGGGCUAUUACUGACACUCAGAGACGAAAGCUAGGGGAGCAAAUGGG
rnacentral:rRNA from 1 species